rnacentral:lncRNA from 1 species
UGGAACAAGGAAAAGGCAUCCCAAGCCUAGGUGAAAUUGGGGGUUUUAGGGUUCGUUGUUAGCCCGGUGUAAAACAACGAGUUGGGUAGUGCACUCGCAAAACUACCGUACUGUAAUCUUGGAUUAUAGUGGAAAUUCCCAAAGGUGCUUUGGGGAGUGGAUGUAGGAGCAGUGGAAGCUCCGAACCACUAUAAAAGCUUGUGUUUGCGAUUGU